UUGGCGCGAAUGCUGAAGGUUACCGGGGGUCGAUGGCCAAGGAACGUUCCGAUUCCCUGGGUGGCCGGCAAGGACAUAUUUACGUCUCGUUUGGCCUGUGAGAUGAAGAUUUUUCCUUAUGGAUGGAAUAUUGCUGCUGUUGUAUCAGCAGUGAUGGACAAGGAUCGUCAAGAUGCGGCGCGGAAGCGCCAGGUGUUUACUAGGGUCGAGGACCCUACUCGCGAGAUGAAGCUAGCGCGGGGAGGCGCGAAGUCCACCGCCCCUGGCAGCAGUAAACCACCACCAACAGCGAAGCCUGCCGUCCCCGGGCCCAGCAAGUCUUCGGCGGGUUCGAGGGCUACCGCUUCUGGCGCGGGCAAGCCGCCCUCGGCUGAGCCCACGAAGGAGCGAAGGCCGUCGUCGCUGGUGCGCGCCGACGAAGUGGCGGCGGGUGGUGCCGACUUCGACACGGACAUCUGCGUGGAGGAUUACCUCAUUGGUGAGUGUUUUUUUAGGACUAGGUCUUGAACAAGGUUAUGGUGCAGGGUCGGAUGCAGGGCAGCUGGCUGUUGUCCCGGCUCCGGUGGCGGACACUUCGCCUGCGACGGCGGAUGGAGCGAAGGGUACUUCGCAGGACCCGUGGUCCAAAUUCUGCACCAGCGGCGAGAUUUCGUCGGCCGUCGCCGCCAAAGACAUGGCGGGCUCGGUGUCCCAGCAGCUGAGGCAUGCGUCGCGGCAGAUAAAGCAUGUAAGCCGUCUUGGACUUUGUUAGUUCGUUGUUCUUAUGUGGUUGUGGAUCUAAUGGAUUUUUCAUGGCAGGCGGUCGCCUUCACCGACCAUGUUGCGUCGGGCGCCCUGACUUUGGAGUUCGCUGCCGAGAGGCAACGGCUCGAGGGCAGGAUCGAGCGCCUCCGAGCGUAGCAUACGGAUGCUAUUUAGGACAAGUCAGCUGCGGAGAACAAGAGCCAUAGGCUGGCGAAGAGGCUGGCGGCUGCGGAGGCCGACAAGGAGGAUCUCAGGCAUCAGUUGGUGGAGGAGAGGAUGGACACGAACAAAGCUUGUGCUGAGGCACAGUAUGCGCAAGCCGAGGCCAAGCUUGCGCGGGCGGAGGCCAGUCUCGCCCGCCAAUGCGCCGAGGAGAUGGAGACGAGGAUCGGUGGCCUGCGCGACCGCCUGGACAAAAUGGUGGCCUCGACGCGUGCAGAGGUCGAGCGGACGCAUACGCAGCUGGUGGACGCGUACCGGGAGCUCGGUGCGCAGACCGCUCCCUUCGAAGCGCUCGGUCAGGAGGUCAGCCUCCGCUUCCUUGGGUGGCUAUAAGAGGAGCUAGAGGUGGUCCCAACCAUUGUGACGGGCCUCAUGUCCUUCGCCUCCCUCAUCACCUGCGAGGGGGCCAUGAAUGCCUUGUCCCGCGAGGGAUGCAGGCACUUCGAGGUCUUCGACCAGUCGGACGAAGGCUUCGAGCGUGGAAUCUUCCAGGUUGAGGACCCGGUGUUGAAGCGGUCGGUUGGGGCACUUUUUGGUAGGAUGUGGGGCCCUCACGGUCGAGAGACUGUCCGGGAGAGGUCCGACCGGGCGAUGGAUCAUGUAAAGGUGCAUUUGUGUGAUUAUAUGUGUGGGUAUGUGUGGUUUGUUGAAUGAAUGUGUUAUUGCUGUAGAUGGCACAUGAUGAAGAGGUUGAGGACCUUGGUGAUCUGGACAGCACGCUGCCCGAGGCAUCGGAGGUGGAGCUGGCGCCGCCAUACGAUGCUGGCGAGGGCCCCUCGGCGACCCCUGUGCCGACUGGAGCUGGCGAAGACCUCGCGCCAGCCACUGCGCUGACGGAUGAGGACGCUUCGAAGGUAGUGGGCGAACCAGCUGCCGAAGACCCAGCGGCGUCGGUCGGGCCUUCGCAGGUGGCAGAACAAGGGCUAGGGCUUUCAGUGUAAACUUUUAUUUUUGUGAUACUGAACCUCGGUUGCUGCGCAGGUUUCGACAUUUGGGCCUGCUCAAGCAACUGCUGCUAGCAAUACUGAUUUUGUGGCGGCCUCAACCGUAGUGCCUGCCGAUGAGAAUUUAUUUGGCUCUGGAUCUGAAUGUUUUGAGUCUGAUGGUGAAUCUGGGAGUUCAUUUUCCUGGAUGGAGGAGUCCUUGGAUGAAGGCUUGGAUUAUUUUGCUGCGUUAGAUGUGGCCGCAGUGGAGUCUUCGCCGUGUGUGGAGGGUGCUAGGGCUGCUGAUCUUCCUAGUGCGAGUACUGAGUACAGGCGGCAAAGGGUGGUGUCGAAACAUAGUGUGGGUGAGUUUUCGCGAAGUGGUAGGCGCCGUCGUAUGGGGAUGGAGCGUGGCCAUCUUCGAGUAGACCGGAUUGGUAAACGAGAAUUGUUGUCCUCGCCGAUUGGGGCGAGCAUAGGUGAGGGGGAUCUGCAAAAUCUUUUUAAGGGUGAGGAAUUGAGGAUAAUGUUGUUCAAUUAUAGGGAGAUGGGUAUCAUCCAGAAGGUUGAGCUGAUGUAGUAUGUGGUGCCCUCGCCGUGUGUAUGUAACUGUAAUUUGUAUUGUAAUGCGACCUGUUGGCCGUUUUCGCACGCCUGUGCUGAUCCGGCUGCACUCGUGGGCGACUUUUGCGCGGAGUAUUUGUUCGGCGAGAGACUUCGAUGGCGUAUUUUAUUGUGCUCGUCCGGCUGCACCCUUGGGCGUCUUUCGCAUAGAGCGUCUUUAAUGAAAGACUUCGAUUGAUGUACUUGGUGUGCUGCUCCGGCUGCACCCUUAGGCGACUUUUGCGCGGAGUGUCUUUUCAAUAAAAGACUUCGAUUAUCGCACUUGUUGUGAUAUUCGGGCUGCACCCUUAGGCGACUUUUGCACGGAGUGUCUUUUUAAUAGAAGACUUCGAUUAUCGCACUUGUUGUGCUAUUCCGGCUGCACCCUUAGGCGACUUUUGCGCGGAGUGUCUUUUUAAUAAAAGACUUCGAUUAUCGCACUUGUUGUGCUAUUCCGGCUGCACCCUUAGGCGACUUUUGAGCGGAGUGUCUUUUUAAUAAAAGACUUCGAUUAUUGCACUUGUUCUGCUAUUCCGGUUGCACCCUUAGGCGACUUUUGCGCGGAGUGUUGCACGCGAGGGUAGUCUACGCUGUCGGUGUUUCGGGUCCGACCGCGCACCCGGGGUUACCCCUCAAGGUGCUUUCAGGAGUAGGACGGUGUUAUCGACUGUAGCUCGAUGGUUCGUGCUGGAUGCACGAGAAACAGUGGGCAGAGGUUUACAGGUUCGAGCCGCUUUGAGAUGUGUAACACCCUACGUCCUGGCGAGAGUGCUUUAUGUGGUGGGUUACAAGGGAGUUCUCUAGCACUGAAAACGUAGAGAGUUGGGUGGAAGGCUAAGUAACGAGCAUCUGAUCUGAAAGGGUGCCCCCUAGGCCUUAUAUACUCGACCGUGGGGCGAUACAUGCAGGUAUGAUAACUAUAUGUACCUAAGAAAUAGUGAACUAACUGAGUUUAUCCUCCUAUAAUUCCGCCGACCCAUCCUCGCUUGGUUCCGUUGUACGGGGCUCCUGCGCGGGAAGGUCGGGUCACUAUUGUGAUUAUUGCUCGAAUUCGUUGGGCCGUCUUGGGCUCGCGCUGAUAUGGCCUUGUGUCGAUCCGCUUCACUGGUCGUUCCUCCCCAGGCCCACAAGGGGGAUGACCUUACGAACUAUGGGGCCCUUGGGCCUUUCGUGAGGCCUUUUAUCCUUAUAGUGGACCCGGCAGAUAUCUGUCCCCCACAAGCCCCCGAUCUUUGGGUCGAUUUUGAAAUAAACGGCCCAAGGAUCCUAGGUCCAACUUGCAGUCUUUGAUUUUAACAAGGAAUGCUUUGGAGAUAAGCCUGCCGGGCCACUGCUUCUAAAUUCUGAGUGAUCCGAUAGAAACAAUUUUUCACUGCCUUUUUCUGUUUUCAUCACUCGAAAUUUGGUGUUAUCUCAGACUCAUGCUUCGGAGGUCAACAUUUCUGUAUCGUAGGACUUCAAAAUUCAUUGGGUGCACUGAAGGUGCACCCAAUGGGUGUAGCCCCCGAGCUUCGAGUGGAUUUUUGCAAACAAUCCACUCGAAGGUCUUCACUUCAAGUAUUAUCAGAGAUCACUUUUAUCUUCUACUUGUGCUUUUUCAGAGGUCAGCCUUGUCUUGAUCUUGCCCUAUGCUUUAGAGGUCAGCAUUUUGCUUCUUCGGGGAUGAUGAUUCAUUGGAUGCACCAAAGGUGCACCCAAUGGGUGUAGCCUCUGAGCUUCGAGUGGAUUUUUGAAAAUAAUCCACUCGAAGGUCUUCAUUUCGUGCCUUUUUUCCGGGAAUUAUCCUUCCCCUUUGCCGAAUGCCUUGGAGAUCAGCAUUAUAUUAUUAAUACUACGCUUUGAGGCCAAGUAUGCGAUCUGCUCGUAUUUUGUUGGAUCUUGCAAUUUAUUUGAUCUGCUACUGAUUGGACGUUCGAUAGAUGGCCUUUGACUAGUCUUCAUGUCACUUCACACUUUGAUGCUUCUGUCGAUUAGACUUGUACCUCAUCGGCUAUAUUUGGCUUUCCUUUGAUCCUUGCUGAUAUCUUUCUUCUCUCUUGAAGUAUUCAUUACAUAUACUGUUCGGAUGUGACAAUUUUGAAAAUAUACUGAUAAUUCCUAGGUGUCCCCCCAAUGGGUGUAGGCAAGGGAUGGCUUGGUACGCUGAGCGUUUAGCAAAUUGCUUCUGAGUAGUAACUUGAUGUGACCGCGGGUGUAAUCAUAUUGCCCGCGUAGUUGACUGGAGUCCCAAUGGGUGUCGUGUUACGUGAAACGACGUCAGCCGCCUGACGUGUCUCCAGGCGGUUUGAAUUGCAUAUUGAAUUUUUGCGACUGUUUAGUGGCCGUGGUAGGAGGUGAGCGGUUGCCUUCUUCUUCUAUAAAUAGUGCUCUUGCUUCUCCGGCAUUUUCACAUCUCUUGCUGCUGCUUACUGUUCGCUCUCUUCUCUUUCCUUUUUCAUCCACCAUGGGCAAGAGUAAGAAAGGUGGUAGUUCUUCGCAUCGUUCUGGUGACAAACGCAAGCGCGAGCCGACUCCUCCCUUGGAGGACUUCGGCGACUCGGAGUACUCGGAGGAGAAGUUCUCCUCCGAGUCCGAGGGCUCUCUGGCUCCUGCCUCUCCCCCGGCGUCGUCUGAUGAUUCAGACGACUCCCAGGGACUCGCCGCGGAGGUUUGGACCUACAUCCGGGCCAUCGAGCGCGCCGGGCUCGAGGGCUCGGAUGAGUCGGAGUACUCCUCGGACUCGUCCGAGGAGGGCGGCGGCGACGGCGAUGGCGAUGGAGGCGACGGCGACGGCAGCGGCGACGGCAGCGGUGACGGUGGCGAAGGCGACGGUGACGGCGGCGGCAAGGGUGGCAGCGACGACGACGGCGACAGUAGCAAGGGCGGCAGUAGCAGGGGCAGCAACAAUGCCAGUGGCUAGAUGCCACUGGUUUUAAUUAUUAGUAUAGAUUAGUAGUAGAAGUAGUAUUAGCGGAAUAAUGUAGUAGUAGCUAGUAGUAUAGUUAGUGAAAUGUAAUGUAGUAGUAGGGAAGGCAUCAACUCAUAAUGAGUUGAUUUGUAAGUUCGCUGAUGCUUCCCUAUAAUGAAGAAUGAUUUCGUCCCACUUCUGUGCGCGUUAUUUUGCUUUCCUGUCAUUCACCGAUCUCAUUAAUGCCUGAGGAAUGUUUGGAAUCAUCGAAUCACGCUUCUGACUGUUUUCUUCGCGAUGUCAGCGCUUUGGUGGUAGCGGCUGAGUCAUCUGAAAUCACGUUGUUGCUUUAGGAGUGAUGGUCGAGUUAUUACUGGUGAUGUUGGCGCUUUUUGGAGUAACAGCCGAGUGAUAGUGGGCCACGUCAGUGUUUUAGACAUAAUGACCGAGUGACUAAUGGCGACGUCGGCGUUUUAGAGGUAACAGCCGAGUCAUUGAUGGCGACGUCGGUGUUUUAGAGGUAAUAGCCGAGUGAUCGAUGGCAACGUCGACGUUUUAGAGGUAACGGCCGAGUGAUAACGGGCCACGCCGGCCGCUUUGGAGACAAUGGCCGAGUGGAGUUUGGUAACGUCAGUGUUUUCAGAAAUAACCGCUGAGUUAAAAUGGACCGCGUCGGCCGCUUUGGAAAUAACGGCCGAGUGAUGAUGUGGCAUGCCCGCGCUUUAGAAAUAACUGCGGGGUGAUGAUGUGGCACGCCAGCGUUUUAGAAAUAACAGUCGGGUGAUGACUGGACGCUUUUUAGAUUUGGCAUCUGGCUUCGGAAAACCCCAUAUGUACUACAGUGUCGCAUGUCUCCGCAUUCCGUGCCCUAGUUUUUGCUUUUCCGCAAUACUGCUUUCGCUCCGCUCGUCCGCAAGGUUGAGAUCGCGCCCAAGCGGAAAGCUUCGAGUUCGUCCGUCGUAGUCAUUCCUCCCAUCGAUCCCAACAGUCAGUUGCCUUUCGCAGGUAACCAUAUGUCUGUUGUCUCUGAAUCCGACCUUCUCCAUCUUGUAUCCAUCGGAGUUCUUCCUCCAAAGGAGCUCUGUUCCUGGCGAAUCUGCCGUGGGGUCACUGUUCCAACAGAGGACACUCACGAAUCCGUCAUCUACGUUCCUUUUCUCCUCCACGGUCUUGCUCUUCCCAUUUCUCCUUUUUUCUGCGGUCUCCUUGAUUUCUAUUGCUUGAAUCUGACCCAUCUGAAUCCCAAUUCUAUUCUGCAAGUUUCUAUCUUUGUUCAUUUAUGCGAAGCUUUUCUCGGCGUUCUGCCACACUUUGGCCUGUGGAAGUAUUUGUACCACUGUCGCCCUGGGAUGGCUGGAGGGCAGCACCAGCUGGUGGGGGGCGCGAGCUUGGAGAUGCGCCAUGGGAGGAAGGCUGACUACCUCGACAUCCCACUCAAGGAUAGUAUCAAGGGAUGGCGCCUGGAAUGGUUUAUCAUGGAGAAUCAUGGGAAUUCUCUCCCCCCACGGUCAGGGAGACAGCCAGAUGUUCGCACUCCGAGCUGGACCGAAUCCCCCACAGACCAGGAAGUGGCUGAGGCAGGGGCUUUGCUGGCUGAAGUUGGAUUGUUGAAAGAAAGGGGUCUGACUGCAGAGGCUGUGGUCGCUGACUUUGUUUUCAAGAACAUUCAACCACUGAAAGACAGACCAUAUCCGGCCUAUCUGUAUCGAGGCUUUGCUGAUUCAACUCGGAUAACCAACAGAAGAAUUCCUGUCGUGGACUUGGUGAGCCGGCUCGAGAUGAUACUCAGAGGCAAGGUGUCAAACGUCGGCGCUCCUGUUGCAUACUCGGCCUGGAAUCUGCCUCCUUCCAAGGCCUUUACCAGUUUUGUGUCAAAUUCUCCUGCUGGUGAUAGCGGUUUGGGCCUUAGAGUGCGACCCUCUCCCGAAGAAGUUAGUGCUUUGGUUGCCUCUCUUGAAGAAAUUCCUGACGAUGAGAGGCAGGUUCAUUUUGAGGUGCCUUUGAAUCCGAGUGAUGCAGAGAUAAGUGUCAUGCUGGAUAUGUUAGCUGAAGAUUCUUCUGAUGUAGUCCCUGCUGGAACAUUGGUGGUAGCGACCAUCCCAGAGGCUAGCAAAGCUUUGGAUAUUCAGAAGUCUGACAGUGUUCGUCCGAAGCGUUCUCGCCGAGCCAAUCAGCCUGCUUCUCCUGCUGAGGGGAGAAACAGAGGAAGAGACGUCUUCGUCGAGUGUCUAGUUUGGAUCAGGAUGCUGGUCCUUCUGUUCCUGCUGCUGAGGAAGUGCCAGUGCCUGCAUUUGCUGAAGCUAAUCCCAAUGGGUGCAACCUGCCUGCUGUUAAUGCCAAUGGGUGUGACUUGGAUGACGCUGACCCCAAUGGGUGUACUGUCCGCGUUGUUGAUGAAGAUGAGGAAGGGGAGGAUGAAAUCCCUCUAAUUCGGAAAAACAGCCGACGCUACGUAGCCAGCGGGGAAAGCAGUGGUGUUCCUUCUCCAGCUUUAUCUACCCUCAUCGGUCUGCAAGAAUUAUCUCUGACGAACUUUGAUCAGACUCUUGAAGACAUGGUACCAGAAGAUCUGUUGUCCGAGCCAGCAGAUGGUAGCAUGAUGGACGUUUGCACUGAUGUGCCUGGUGCUGGGCUGGAGUUAUCUCGGGCGGCGUCCCGCACCUCAUCGACCUUGGAGCGUAGUCUUAAGGGUCAGGAGGCUGGCCUGGAUUGCACUAUUCCCAUGGAAGUGGUUGAAGGUCCUUCAGCCUUAGAGGUGGCUGCCUCGGAGGGCUCGGCCCUCAAAGAUAGCGCUGGUGCUUACCCAGCCCCCGAGGGUGUUGUCGGGGAUGAUCCGGCUCGGAUGGGUAGCGCGAGCGAUGACCUAGCCCCCGAGGGUGUCCGAGUCGGUUCUCCCUCUAACACUUCCAUGGAUGUUCACGUGGGAUCUUCUCCUCCGCACUCUGAUUCUAUGACAGCAGCACGAGUUUCAUGUCAAGAGGUCGCUUUAGAGGCCAGCGUACCUGAUGACAGAGUUCUGACUUCUGCUGGUGACACUGACUUAGUUCCCAAUGAUGCAGUGCGGGUUGUUCCAGUUGGUGACCCUUCAGCAAGCCGUCAGUUGAUUUCCCACGACUUGGGUGUUCCCUCAUUCUUCUCCAACCUCCAGGCGUUGGUGGACGAAAUGGCUGGUCGGUUGAAAUAGCAGGGCACCUCUGUCCUAGAAGGGGUUUUGUCCCUAACGCAUUGGAAUCCAGUGCUGCUUUAGCGAUAUGGCCCGGCGAUAUUCUGACCUUGAAGGAAGGUAUUCUCAAAGUCAGGCUGAACUGGCCCAGGUUUCUGCUUCUCUGAAUGAUGCUAACUCCACUCUCCGUGCUCAACUUGAUUCUGAAAAGGAGGAGAAACGUGAUCUUGCCACUUCUCGCGACAAUCUGGAGAAGUUAUACCGCGAUGCCAGCAACUCGUUGACUAUCUUGGAGAGGAGCCAUCGUUUCACCAUGGAGGACUUGGAUAACCAUUGCUAUAAGCUGCAAGAGUCUCUAGAUGAUAUGAUUCGCCUCAGGCAAUUGGUGUCGAACAAGGAUACUGUCAUCAAGGAUCUGCGCGCUUCCAAAAAGUCGGUGGUCCAGGAGCUAGAAGCCGCUCGGUUGGCUGUCAAGGCCGCUGAAGAUACUUCUGCUACUCUGAAGGCCUAGCGCGACAGAGCCAUGGACAAAGCCGUUCGCGCGGGGCGAAUCCUGAUGAGGAGACCCGGCGUGGUUGUUCCCGACGACAUAGUGGCAGAUGUGAAUGCCGCUCCCGAUUCUAAGAGUCGUCCCUCCUCGUCGAUUGCUCCUGAGAAAAACAUUCCCAAAUAGAAAACACUGUGUGCUUUGAUCAUGUGGUUAGUGUGCUCUGAUGCUUCGUUAGAAAACGCUUUUUAGUACUGAAUGCUGUUAUUGCUUUCCCGUUGUUAGAAUUCAACGGUAUCUAUAGUCGUAAAAGUAAGUGUAUCAUGAUGGUUUUGAAAUUUUUUCGUGGGGCAUAGAGAUCGCCCUGGGAUGAAUAAUCGCAAACGUGCCG